rnacentral:sRNA from 1 species
GAUGCCAGGGUCUCAAAGUCUGUCACGCGCGUGAGCUGGCUCACAUGCGUGUGACUGACCUUGAGACCCGCCCCGAUAUGAGCAUAAAAGCGUAGCGGAAGCUACGCGAUAUGCGAAUAAUGGGUAGGAGUGCGGGAGUGCGCAGCACGGAGCAAUCCGUUGGCAU